GAUGAACGCUGGCGGCGUGCCUAAUACAUGCAAGUCGAGCGAACGGACGAGAAGCUUGCUUCUCUGAUGUUAGCGGCGGACGGGUGAGUAACACGUGGAUAACCUACCUAUAAGACUGGGAUAACUUCGGGAAACCGGAGCUAAUACCGGAUAAUAUUUUGAACCGCAUGGUUCAAAAGUGAAAGACGGUCUUGCUGUCACUUAUAGAUGGAUCCGCGCUGCAUUAGCUAGUUGGUAAGGUAACGGCUUACCAAGGCAACGAUGCAUAGCCGACCUGAGAGGGUGAUCGGCCCCACUGGAACUGGGACACGGUCCAGACUCCUACGGGAGGCAGCAGUAGGGAAUCUUCCGCAAUGGGCGAAAGCCUGACGGAGCAACGCCGCGUGAGUGAUGAAGGUCUUCGGAUCGUAAAACUCUGUUAUUAGGGAAGAACAUAUGUGUAAGUAACUGUGCACAUCUUGACGGUACCUAAUCAGAAAGCCACGGCUAACUACGUG
rnacentral:rRNA from 1 species